GACAGAGGCCUCAAGCGUUAGGCGGAAUCACUGGGCUUAAAGCGUGUGUAGGCGGAUCGUUAAGCGCCUUGUGAAAUCCCACGGCUUAACUGUGGAACGGCUGGGCAUACUGGCGGUCUUGAGCCAUCUAGGGGCGACUGGAACAAACGGUGGAGCGGUGAAAUGCGUAGAUAUCAAGUGGAACACCAGUGGCGAAGGCGAAUCCCUGGAAAAUACCUGACACUGAGGCACGAAAGCUAGGGGAGCAAACAGG
rnacentral:rRNA from 1 species